rnacentral:rRNA from 1 species
GACGAACGCUGGCGGCGUGCUUAACACAUGCAAGUCGAACGGAAAGGCCCUGCUUUUGUGGGGUGCUCGAGUGGCGAACGGGUGAGUAACACGUGAGUAACCUGCCCUUGACUUUGGGAUAACUUCAGGUAACUGGGGCUAAUACCGGAUAGGAGCUCCUGCUGCAUGGUGGGGGUUGGAAAGUUUCGGCGGUUGGGGAUGGACUCGCGGCUUAUCAGCUUGUUGGUGGGGUAGUGGCUUACCCAGGCUUUGACGGGUAGCCGGCCUGAGAGGGUGACCGGCCACAUUGGGACUGAGAUACGGCCCAGACUCCUAUGUGAGGCAGCAGUGGCGAAUAUUGCACAAUGGGCGGAAGCCUGAUGCAGCAACGCCGCGUGCGGGAUGACGGCCUUCGGGUUGUAAACCGCUUUCGCCUGUGACGAAGCGUGAGUGACGGUAAUGGGUAAAGAAGCACCGGCUAACUACGUG